GUUCCCGGGACGCAGCAGUAGGGAAUCUUCCACAAUGGACGAAAGUCUGAUGGAGCAACGCCGCGUGAGUGAAGAAGGGUUUCGGCUCGUAAAGCUCUGUUGGUAGUGAAGAAAGAUAGAGGUAGUAACUGGCCUUUAUUUGACGGUAAUUACUUAGAAAGUCACGGCUAACUACGUGCCAGCAGCCGCGGUAAUACGCAGGUGGCAAGCGUUGUCCGGAUUUAUUGGGCGUAAAGCGAGGGCAGGCGGUGCAAUAA
rnacentral:rRNA from 1 species